rnacentral:rRNA from 1 species
GACGAACGCUGGCGGCGUGCUUAACACAUGCAAGUCGAACGGAAAGGCCCUGCUUUUGUGGGGUGCUCGAGUGGCGAACGGGUGAGUAACACGUGAGUAACCUGCCCUUGACUUUGGGAUAACUUCAGGAAACUGGGGCUAAUACCGGAUAGGAGCUCCUGCUGCAUGGUGGGGGUUGGAAAGUUUCGGCGGUUGGGGAUGGAUUCGCGGCUUAUCAGCUGGUUGGUGGGGUAGUGGCUUACCAAGGCUUUGACGGGUAGCCGGCCUGAGAGGGUGACCGGCCACAUUGGGACUGAGAUACGGCCCAGACUCCUACGGGAGGCAGCAGUGGGGAAUAUUGCACAAUGGGCGGAAGCCUGAUGCAGCAACGCCGCGUGCGGGAUGACGGCCUUCGGGUUGUAAACCGCUUUCGCCUGUGACGAAGCGUGAGUGACGGUAAUGGGUAAAGAAGCACCGGCUAACUACGUG